rnacentral:lncRNA from 1 species
GAGGAUUGGUAAUUUGCAGCUUGUACGUGAUUGGUUCUAGGUUUCGAUUCGUCGAAAUCUCACGCUACAAGAGGUAAAUAAAUCGAAACUUUCGUAAAUUAAUUCGAGCAUGUUUGUAUGAAUUAUAAUUUAUGAUUAUGAGUAAUAUGUGAUUACGUGUUUCGAUUUUAUGAGUAAUAUGUGUUUCGUAAUUUUCGGUUUUACGUGUUUUUCAAUUAAAUCGAUAAUUACCAUAUGUAUGGCGGAAGCGUUAAGGUACGUUGACUAUGUGAUUAGUUUAUGCAUGUAAUCGAAACUAGUUCGAUAUAAAAAAAUUAAAUUCCGCUGCGUAUACAUGCACGAUCCCCAACACUUGACACAUGGUUGUUUCUUAAAAAGCUGUCACAUUGAAUGACGCAGUAUUGUAGAAGUAAAAGAAGCUGAAAAUGCGUCAUAGUUUUCAAAAAAAUUGGCCCACAUGUUGUAGAAAAAAAAUGGCCCCUCAUACAACCUCUUUUUUUCUUUUCAUUUUCUCAGACACUUAUACAAGGAGGUUUUCAGUUUUUCAUUUCCACUUUUAUUCAUUACAAUGGAAUACUAUUUCCAUUAAUUUUUCUAGCUAUUUCUCCCUCAAACACUUCUUACGUGCAGGGUUUUUGUUGAUUGUUUUGUUUCAGAGAUUUCACACUGCAUUUAUCAAAGUUUGUGAUAAAAAGGUAACCAUAUGUUCAUUUUUUCCACUUCUUCCAAAUUUUUGUUGCAGGUUUUUUCUUCUUAAAUUACUUUUCUAGGCAAAUAUUUUUGUAUCUCAAUAGAAGCUUUGGUUACAAUUAUAUUUACUCGUAUAAUUAAUGGCCCCAGUUUAACAUUCUGCUCCCAGGUUACUUAUUCAACUUUCAUUUCACAUACGUAAGUUUUCUUCAAGUUCUUCUUCUUCUCUUAUAAUUUUUUGCAUUGACGAUUUUUUUUCGGUUGCAGAUCUUUAACUUUCGUCUCCAACUUUAUAGACAUCUAAAGUAAGUAAUUUGUUACUUGUAUAUUAUAUUUCUUUGUUACAAUGCAAUAUAAGUAAAAGUUCUUGUAUUUAUCAAACACUUGUUGAAAUUUUCUGUUUGUCCUCACUAUUAUUCACAACUUUCUUUUUCUCUUUCCUUGAAAAUGGGAUAUACAGUCGUAUGUUGUCUUUUCUCUUCUUGUUUUUGUUUUGUAAUAUUUCUUAUUACCAUUCGUUAAUGGAAGAUUGAUGGUUGAACUUGAUGUUACACGAACAGAGGAUAGGAAGCUUGAAAAUAUUAUGCUGAAAAUAUGAUCACAAGUAGAAUAGUUUUCAAAAUUUUCCACAGAUUUAAUGAAGCUUCUAAUUUUGAGCUUUUCAAACAAGAUAGAAUCGGGAUAAAGUUUUUCAGUUAGAAAAUAUAUUAUCAUUCUUGUGCUUUUGUCAAAUAUGUUUACUCUCAAACAAAUUCUUACACACUUUAUAGUUUUAUUGAUAUUGUGGUAUGUACUCCAACUCUUUUGCAUAAUCUUUUUGUUGUUUUUGUGUUAUAUAUUUUACAUAUCUAUCGAAGUUCAUCUCAUUUAAUCAAAGGUAGACAUUUUUGCUAAUUUUUUUAUUAUAUAAUGUAUUUUUCUGGUCGCUGAGAGUUGCAGAAACUAGAAACUCUUCUUAUUUGGAGUGGAUGAACCAUUUUCACUUCUUAUGUUGUUUCUGUACAAUAGGUACUAUUUAAUUGGUUCGUUGAAGCAGCAUAUAUUCGCUACAUUUUUUGAAGGCUUUUACAUAUCUGUUUCAGUUGAGACGGUAUUGACAAUGGAAGAAAAUGGUACACAUCAUGAUAAAUUACCAAUAAUAUGAUUUAUUGUUUCAAUUACGGUUGUUAUUUACUGUUACAAUUGAACAUGGAAUUUUAAUAUUUUUAUGCAAUACUUCAGUUAACAAUAACUAAAAAAUGUUAGUUGUGUGCACUUGUUCAAAUAAAUAUGAACAUAUAUGUAGAGAGUUUUCGAUUUGUGUUACAAAGCUUAAAUACAUUUUUGUCACAUUUCCUUUGUGUUGCGUUUAGGAAGCCUUGGUCAUGAGGACGCAAUCGAUUCAUACAUUAAGUUGGAGAAAUCUCGUAUGGGUAAUUAUAGAUGUGAAAAACUUCAAAAAGAAUCCCAAUUAUCACUUGAUGAGAUUGUGCAUUCCUCCUUGAUCAAUGGAGAAAUUGACCCUGCAAAUGUUCGGAAAAAAAUUCGCUGCCUUCUUCAUUUAUAGGUGGAUCAAGAGACAUCAUAAAACGUGAUGUGAAUGCUAUGCAAAUUCAAUAUCCACUCAUUAUCUCACGAUUGGAAAAACAAUUGAACAAGCAGCCUUUUCACGAAGAUUAUUCAGCAAACAAUGAUUUUCAUAAUGAUUAUGGGAAUAUCGAAAAAAAAAGGUUGUUGAUAGGAAGCUUUUUGGUGAAGGUAAGUUAUUAAUCAUACAAUCCAAUUCUUUUGAAUUCUCUAAGCUUUUGUUCAACUUUAUAGGCUAAUAUUUGUUAAUCUCUUUCUUAGAUAUUGCUCAUGAGUUCAUGCAUGUUGAAGAUGGAUGUGGUACAUCUACCAGCCAACGUCGAUCUCUAAUUACAAUCGUACAAGAAGCCAAUAUUAGACAUCUAUUUUUUGUUGCAUUGGCAUAAUUAAUACAUCAAACAGUUCGUAUUAUCUCCAUCUUUUUGAAUUGUAUUAUCUCUAUCUAAAUCAUAACUUGAACUUCUUUUAUGCUUG